AGUGCACACAUCUGGGCUUCAGUCCGAACUUGUGCCUCAGAGCAUCUAUUCCUUCAUGAAAUAAAAAUGCCAAAAGGUUAGAGAUGGGGUUUUUUUAAUCCUUCUGAGGAGCUGUUUUGUGUACUGAGCAUUACCUAUAAUAGCCCUGCCCCAAAAUACUUACAGUGCUCUCCAUUUCUACUGUAGUCACUCACUGCAGGUCUCAAAGACUACUGAUAGCACUAAGCAGCUCUCAGACAGUAACUGCAAUUAUGCUUCUGCAGCAGUGAGUGCCCACAGCCAUGCUUUAUGCUUUCAUGCAGAGCAACAGAGGAUUUUAAGGAGUGGUGCAAGUCCUUGGAAAGCAACACAUGCAUAUGUGCUUUCCUAAAUCUAAUCUGGCAUCCUUCUGGCUUUCAUAUCAUCUUAGGAGCAAAGUGCACCUUUGUGCUUUUCAUAGUGUUGCUGCUUGGUAACUAGUCUCUAUUCUAACAGGCAAAGCGUCGCAGCACCUUCCGAGAGCAGUAGCGUGCUCCCUUUGAUCCUCGCUUCACCUUUUCAACGCAGCUGCACAGCAAGGGUGCGUCACCCUUCCUCAGAUUUGGCUGCUAGUGCUACCGCGUUUCCUUGCGUUGCCCACAGCUGUUUUUCCCCACCAGAAAUCUGCAGAGAAGGACAGCCAUUGCGGCCAAAAGCUGGUGAGACAAAGAUCUUUCCUCCACUAUUAACAGCUCCCUCUCUCUAAUUCUCCUUAAAUACGUAAAGGAGACACUAAAUUUACAACAUGCAUUGUUAACAACCAAGGCGAAGCUGGAGGGAGUUAAAACAUCCCACUUCUUCAUGCUGGUUUGGGAAUCCCAGCCUUCGAGUGACUUUUUCAAGCUCUUCUUUGUACCCCGGCAUUAGCUAAAACCAGGGAAAAUCCGCCAGCAGUGGAACAGGUCUGCCCGGGGGCCUGGUGGCUGUGCUGGGGGCCUGCCGUCGCCGCCUGCCCUGCACGCUGGGGAAAGGCCUGGGAACAGGCGCCUUGGAGCAUGAGCAGCGAUGCGCCUGCUGUCACCUCCGCCCCCGGGACACCGGGGAGGGCACGUUUCCAUCGCCCCGUGCCCCCGGUUUAUCUAUGUGCGAGGAACGAGGAGAUUAAAAAACAGGGAGCCGAGGAACUGCCCGGUGCUAGCCACGAGGCCCUAUGAUGAGCCAAACUGUGGUGUUUCUGUAGUGCGUUGUUUGAAAGUUCCUGCUGGGAGCACAACCAGGAGGACGAGCACAACCGCUGGACCAGAUGCGGAGUUUUAUCACCACCUGCAAACUCCAAGCAGAAUAAUUCAGGUUGAAAGGGACCCCGCCGCAAGGCAGGGUUGACUCUGAAGGGUCUUCCAGGGCUUUGCGCAGCCAUGUCCCAAAGCUCUCCAAGGAUGGUGACUCCACUGCCUCCCCAGGCAGCCAGUGCCAGCGUUACUCACCCUCCUGGGAAAAACAUAUUUUCCGUAUUCCCAACAAGGAUUUCCUUUGCAGCUGUUGCUUCUUGUCCCUCCCUUUGCACCUCCAAGAAGAACCUGGCUCCACCAUCUCCACAAGCCCUUCAAGCAGCUGAAGACAUUGAGCGGGUUGCCCCGGAGCCAUCCCUUCAAUGGGGGGAAGGACCCCGGCCCUGGGCACCCCACAGCCCCAUGGUUCGGCUCACCCCACCGUGUCGCAGCCCCCAGCCGGACACAGCAUCCCAGGAGACAGCGGGCAACCAGCCAAAAAAGGCCACCAGAAAGCUCCACGUGCUACCUCCUGGCUGGGGCUUAUCGGAAAUUGCGCUAAGGAUACAGGGAAUUUGGUUAUGCCAGAAGCACCCACAACGUGCACCCAGAUACCGCUAUAGUAUUCUCAUACAGCUAACAAGUAGAUGCUCUCCGAUAAUAAACGAUCCUCUGCAAUGUAAUCUACAAGGCAGCAAGAUUUCCAACAUGCAACAUAUAAUUUAAAACUAAAUUGCAUUAUUAUUGUACUACUUUAAAUCAAGGAUUGGUAUACCAUGGCUUGCAGCUGUGUAGACUGUAAACAAAACCUUCUUUUCCUUUUCCAAGCAGGAGUCUUCAGUUUGCUUCAGUCUCCCAGAAAUUGCUGGUAUGUUAGCUGAAAUGCUUCAGCUGAGUUCAAACUGUGAGGCCUGGGCAGAUGCGUGCUGCUGCUCCUCUUAACGUGCUCUGAAGCAUCACUGCUGAAAUUCAGCAAUUUUCAGCUGGGGGCUGUAGCAGCAGGAGGUGAGGUGGGUCCCCAUCAGCACCUCUCAGCAGAGCCUGUCUCCCUCCGCGUCGUGAGGGACUUGCGCUGGGGCUACGCCGGCUGGUGCCCGCAAGGACGGGCCUGAAAACCCCCGGCUGCAGCCACCGCUGGCACAAAUUCCCGGGGAGCUGCUGCCGAUUUUCCUCUGCGUAUUGGAAAUUGGAUCCGGCUUGCUGGAAAUGCCUGCCUGCUUUAUUUUACUCCAUUUAAUCCUCUGCUGUAACGCUAAAUAAAACCUGCUUAUUAUUAACCCUCCCAACAGUA